UUGAUUUAUCUGCAUAACAAAAUUCCUCUGCAUUGGAAUGCUUGUGAUUCAUGUUCAAGAAAGAGUCGUACGCAAAUCUUUUGAAUGAAUCAUGGUCGUUGUGUCCGUCUUAGUGAAUUUGGACCAGGAGUGCCGUUGGAUUUCGUGACCCUGCCCUCAGCGUAUAAUCGAUCUCGCACGAUAGGUACUGUCGCCCAAAUAUGAACCCUUGAAGACAAAAUGCAGCGUUUCACCAGCAUGAAUUACGUCGAUUAUUCUUCGUCCAAUCCAUCUAAACAAGUAGGCGUGCGAUUUUCAACAUGUGCGAUGAGUGUAGAGCCGCCAUUCGUAAACUACUUCAAGAGCAGGGGUCCCGCAUCACAACCAAGCCUAAACUAGGCCUUGCUGAACGUUCCGGCUAUACUUGUCAUUCGCUGACAGCCUCUAACUUGAGUUUCGCGUCCUGGCUUACGAUGAUCGGAUGCGAGCGGACACACGGCGGCGGUGCUUCGUUGUGGCACUGUUCUAUUCCUAUCAAACCGUUACCCAAAACAGGUUUAUUCUGGUCUAUCUGUGAUCCCCUGUAACACUGAGCGCUCAGAAAACAUCCGAAACCUACCGGAUUUUAUGCAAGCGAGCGAUGCAAAUGGGUGCGAUGGAGCGAAAGGAGAAACAGCAAGCCCUGGUGAUUUACACAAUUUUCAACGCAGGAUGAAACAUCAACUAUCAAUUUCGACAGAGACCAGAUAUUUGUCCUGGUGAAGGAGAUUGUUCACGCAUAUCCAUUCUUAGAUUAUCCUGAUGAGCUAGAGGACCUGCUACGGAGGGAAACUGGUUCUAACCCGUGGGGCUCAUGUACCUCGGACGAUUUUCUUUUUGAUCUUGUUGAUCACGUGCCGAUGAUUGUCUACUCAGACGGAUCGGGCAGAACCAGACCGUGCCCCCAUCUAAAUGACGACAUCAAUAACAAUCUGAAUGACACUGGCGUGGAUAGCGCUCGCGGAACAGUUUAUGAGGGAUACAGUCGAAACAAUAACAAUGCAUCGUUUUGUACAAAUGCUCCAAACAUUGAGGAGAGUCUUGUCCUUGUGAGCUGUGCAUCCUCCUUCGAACCUUUCAGCUCCUUUCCCAGUCCUUUGAGAUCGAUUUUCGAUGCCGAACGAUAACGAUAUUUAAGUCUUCUUGAAGUUCUCGAGAUGUUUAUUGAACGAAAUCGACGUAAUGCAGAAAUAUCUGCUACUGCAAGUAAACUCUUCAGCACUAGACCAGAGCAGAUAUUUGUCACACAUGCCAGACUGAGAAAUAUGCUGACCAAGUCAGAAAAUGAAUACAUAGAGAGUUCGAUUGCGAAGAGCGUCACCAGAAUCAGUACAAUAUCUGAUAGCGAUUCGCCGAAGCAGGAGUAAUUAAAGAGUUUUCAGCGACGCGACGAAGCCUCA